AUUUAGAUAAAAAGUGUAGUCACCAAUUCAGCAUAGGAUACAAAUAACAAAAGGUUGUCCUGGACAACCUUUUGUUAUUUGUAUCCUAUGCUGAAUUGGUGACUACACUUUUUAUCUAAAUA